rnacentral:rRNA from 1 species
GAUGAACGCUGGCGGCGUGCCUAAUACAUGCAAGUCGAGCGAACAGAUCAGGAUCUUGCUCCUCUGACGUUAGCGACGGACGGGUGAGUAACACGUGGAUAACCUACCUCUAAGACUGGGAUAACUUCGGGAAACCGGAGCUACUACCGGAUACUCUAUUUAACCGCAUGGUUCAAUAGUGAAAGACGGUUUUGCUGUCACUUAUAGAUGUAUCCGCGCCUCAUUAGCUAGUUGGUAAGGUAACGGCUUACCAAGGCGACGAUGCGUAGCCGACCUGAGAGGGUGAUGGGCCCCACUGGAACUGAGACACGGUCCAGACUCCUACGGGAGGCAGCAGUAGGGAAGCUUCCGCAAUGGGCGAAAGCCUGACGGAGCAACGCCGCGUGAGUGAUGAAGGUCUGCGGAUCGUAAAACUCUGUUAUUAGGGAAGAACAAAUGUGUAAGUAACGAUGCACGUCUUGACGGUACCUAAUCAGAAAGCCACGGCUAACUACGUG